rnacentral:tRNA from 1 species
GCAGUGGUGGUUCAGGGGUAGAAUUCUCGCCUUCCAUGCGGGAGACCUGGGUUCGAUUCCCAGCCAGUGCA